AGUGAACGCUGGCGGUAGGCCUAACACAUGCGAGUCGAACGGCAGCACAGUAAGAGCUUGCUCUUACGGGUGGCGAGUGGCGGACGGGUGAGGAAUAAAUCGGAAUCUACUUUUUCGUGGGGGAUAACGUAGGGAAACUUACGCUAAUACCGCAUACGACCUACGGGUGAAAGCAGGGGAUCUUCGGACCUUGCGCGAUUGAAUGAGCCGAUAUCGGAUUAGCUAGUUGGCGGGGUAAAGGCCCACCAAGGCAACGAUCCGUAGCUGGUCUGAGAGGAUGAUCAGCCACACUGGAACUGAGACACGGUCCAGACUCCUACGGGAGGCAGCAGUGGGGAAUAUUGGACAAUGGGCGCAAGCCUGAUCCAGCCAUACCGCGUGGGUGAAGAAGGCCUUCGGGUUGUAAAGCCCUUUUGUUGGGAAAGAAAAGCAGCAGGUUAAUACCCCGCUGUUCUGACGGUACCCAAAGAAUAAGCACCGGCUAACUUCGUG
rnacentral:rRNA from 1 species